rnacentral:rRNA from 1 species
UGGGGAAUAUUGCACAAUGGGCGCAAGCCUGAUGCAGCGACGCCGCGUGAGGGAUGACGGCCUUCGGGUUGUAAACCUCUUUCACUAGGGACGAAGCGCAAGUGACGGUACCUAGAGAAGAAGCACCGGCCAACUACGUGCCAGCAGCCGCGGUAAUACGUAGGGUGCGAGCGUUGUCCGGAAUUACUGGGCGUAAAGAGCUCGUAGGUGGUUUGUCGCGUUGUUCGUGAAAACUCACAGCUUAACUGUGGGCGUGCGGGCGAUACGGGCAGACUGGAGUACUGCAGGGGAGACUGGAAUUCCUGGUGUAGCGGUGGAAUGCGCAGAUAUCAGGAGGAACACCGGUGGCGAAGGCGGGUCUCUGGGCAGUAACUGACGCUGAGGAGCGAAAGCGUGGGGAGCGAACAGGAUUAGAUACCCUGGUAGUCCACGCCGUAAACGGUGGGUACUAGGUGUGGGUUUCCUUCCUUGGGAUCCGUGCCGUAGCUAACGCAUUAAGUACCCCGCCUGGGGAGUACGGCCGCAAGGCUAA